CAAUCCAAAAGAAGACACACACACAUAUAUAAUGUGAUGAAAAGAGGGUUGAUUUUUCAUUUGAAAACUCAAAGAGGUCAACAAGUACAUCAUAUCCACCAGUAGGUAGCAAGUCCUGAAUAUUGUGGAGCUACUAUAAAAAAUUUAGACCACACCACAGCAAAUGCAUAUCGAGGAAUAAUUUUUGAUGCAGGGCAGUUCACAACACAUAUGGACAUGUUGGAGUAUUUAUUGCCUCAGCAAGAAGUUAUUCUUGUCUGACAACCCUGAAGUUGUGUAAGUAGAUCCCAAGAACUGCUGGAGAAGUCAUACAUAUUAAACUUCACAGAAACGCAAAAGUUGAUAGUCAUUCACUUGCCCUAGUAACUUAAGAGUGAGGGAACAUACUUCACGAAUAAUUUGAAGAAUGGCAUGGAAUAAUAGAAAAGAAAUUUCCCCGGUCCGCAUACUUGGGUAGCACCAACCAGGACUCGAACCCAAAACCUCUGAUUGCUAAACAAAGGGU
rnacentral:lncRNA from 1 species